rnacentral:rRNA from 1 species
AUGGCCAUACCACAUUGAAAACACCGGUUCUCGUCCGAUCACCAAAGUUAAGCAAUGUUGGGCCCGGUCAGUACUUGGGAGGGUGACCACCUGGGAACACCGGGAGCUGUAGGCU